GACGAACGCUGGCGGCGUGCUUAACACAUGCAAGUCGAACGAUGAAGCCGGAGCUUGCUCUGGCGAAUUAGUGGCGAACGGGUGAGCAACACGUGAGUAACCUGCCCUUGACUCUGGGAUAACUGCGGGAAACUGUAGCUAAUACCGGAUACGACCCUCGGAGGCAUCUCCUGGGGGUGGAAAGAAUUUCGGUCAAGGAUGGACUCGCGGCCUAUCAGCUAGUUGGUGAGGUAAAGGCUCACCAAGGCGACGACGGGUAGCCGGCCUGAGAGGGUGACCGGCCACACUGGGACUGAGACACGGCCCAGACUCCUACGGGAGGCAGCAGUGGGGAAUAUUGCACAAUGGGCGCAAGCCUGAUGCAGCAACGCCGCGUGAGGGAUGACGGCCUUCGGGUUGUAAACCUCUUUUAGCAGGGAAGAAGCGAAAGUGACGGUACCUGCAGAAAAAGCACCGGCUAACUACGUGCCAGCAGCCGCCGUAA
rnacentral:rRNA from 1 species